GGGAAUAUUGCACAAUGGGCGCAAGCCUGAUGCAGCCAUGCCGCGUGUAUGAAGAAGGCCUUCGGGUUGUAAAGUACUUUCAGCGGGGAGGAAGGGAGUAAAGUUAAUACCUUUGCUCAUUGACGUUACCCGCAGAAGAAGCCCCGGCUAACUACGUGCCAGCAGCCGCGGUAAUACGUAGGGGGCUAGCGUUAUCCGGAAUUACUGGGCGUAAAGGGUGCGUAGGUGGUUUGUUAAGUCAGAUGUGAAAUCCCCGGGCUCAACCUGGGAACUGCAUCUGAUACUGGCAAGCUUGAGUCUCGUAGAGGGGGGUAGAAUUCCAGGUGUAGCGGUGAAAUGCGUAGAGAUCUGGAGGAAUACCGGUGGCGAAGGCGGCCCCCUGGACGAAGACUGACGCUCAGGUGCGAAAGCGUGGGGAGC
rnacentral:rRNA from 1 species